UACGGAGGGGGCUAGCGUUGUUCGGAAUUACUGGGCGUAAAGCGCACGUAGGCGGCUAUUUAAGUCAGGGGCGAAAGCCCGGAGCUCAACUCCGGAACUGCCCUUGAGACUGGAUAGCUAGAAUCUUGGAGAGGCGGGUGGAAUUCCGAGUGUAGAGGUGAAAUUCGUAGAUAUUCGGAAGAACACCAGUGGCGAAGGCGGCCCGCUGGACAAGUAUUGACGCUGAGGUGCGAAAGCGUGGGGAGCAAACAGG
rnacentral:rRNA from 1 species